rnacentral:rRNA from 1 species
GGGAAACUGCCUGACGGAGGGGGAUAACUACUGGAAACGGUAGCUAAUACCGCAUAACGUCGCAAGACCAAAGAGGGGGACCUUCGGGCCUCUUGCCAUCGGAUGUGCCCAGAUGGGAUUAGCUAGUAGGUGGGGUAACGGCUCACCUAGGCGACGAUCCCUAGCUGGUCUGGGAGGAUGACCAGCCACACUGGAACUGAGACACGGUCCAGACUCCUACGGGAGGCAGCAGUGGGGAAUAUUGCACAAUGGGCGCAAGCCUGAUGCAGCCAUGCCGCGUGUAUGAAGAAGGCCUUCGGGUUGUAAAGUACUUUCAGCGGGGAGGAAGGGAGUAAAGUUAAUACCUUUGCUCAUUGACGUUACCCGCAGAAGAAGCACCGGCUAACUCCGUGCCAGCAGCCGCGGUAAUACGGAGGGUGCAAGCGUUAAUCGGAAUUACUGGGCGUAAAGCGCACGCAGGCGGUUUGUUAAGUCAGAUGUGAAAUCCCCGGGCUCAACCUGGGAACUGCAUCUGAUACUGGCACGCUUGAGUAUAUUAGACGGGGGUAGAAUCCCAGGGGGUGCGGUGAAAGGCUCAGAGAUAGGGAGGAAUGUCAUCGUCCCAGGCCACCCCGGGAUCGUAGCCUAGCUGUCCCGUUACCCCACCUACUAGCUAAUCCCAUCUGGGCACAUCCGAUGGCAAGAGGCCCGAAGGUCCCCCUCUUUGGUCUUGCGCCGUUAUGCGGUAUUAGCUACCGUUUCCAGUAGUUAUCCCCCUCCGUCAGGCAGUUUCCCAGACAUUACUCACCCGUCCGCCACUCGUCAGCAAAGAAGCAAGCUUCUUCCUGUUACCGUUCG